GAUGAACGCUGGCGGCGUGCCUAAUACAUGCAAGUCGAGCGAACGGACUAGAAGCUUUCUUCUCUGAUGUUAGCGGCGGACGGGUGAUUAACACGUGGAUAACCUCCCUAUAAGACUGGGAUAACUUCGGGAAACCGUAGCUAAUACCGGAUAAUCUUUUGAACCGCAUGGUUCAAAAGUGAAAGACGUUCUUGCUGUCACUUAUAGAUGGAUCCGCGCUGCAUUAGUUAGUUGGUAAGGUAACGGCUUACCAAGGCAACGAUGCAUAGCCGACCUGAGAGGGUGAUCGGCCACACUGGAACUGAGACACGGUCCAGACUCCUACGGGAGGCAGCAGUAGGGAAUCUUCCGCAAUGGGCGAAGGCCUGACGGAGCAACGCCGCGUGAGUGAUGAAGGUCUUCGGAUCGUAAAACUCUGUUAUUAGGGAAGAACAUAUGUGUAAGUAACUGUGGACAUCUUGACGGUACCUAAUCAGAAAGCCACGGCUAACUACGUG
rnacentral:rRNA from 1 species